AAUGAACGCUAGGGGUAUGCAUGACACAUGCGAGUCGACAGUUGUGGCGGACGGGUGAGUAUAGCAGGCAGGUUGCCUAACAGUCCAGAAAAAAUUCUGGGUAAGCCCUUGGGCUAAAAGAUUGAUCGCUGUUAGAUACGUCUGCGUAGGAUUAGGUAGUCGUAAAGAGCCGAUGAUCCUUAGCUGAUCUGGGAAGGAUGCACAGCCACAUUGGAACUGAGACAAGGUCCAAGCUCCGUAGGAGGCAGCAGUGAGGAAUAUUGGGCAAUGGGCGACAGCCUGACCCAGCAAUAUCCCGUGAUCGAAGAAGGCUACGGUCGUAAAGGUAUGUGGGUGGUGAAGAUGAUGACGGUAGCUGCCCAAAAAGUCCCGGCUAACUCCGUGCCAGCAGCCGCGGUAAUACGGGGGGGGCAAGUGUUAUUCGCAAUGACUGGGCGUAAAGCGUACGUAGGCCGUUUGUAUUAAGCUUUAGGUGAAAGGCUAGGGCACAACCCUAGUGUAUCCUACAGCAUAACAAACUUGAGUUGGGCAGGGGGGGGUAGAAUUUUCAGGGGAGGGGUAGAAUCCACGGAUACUGAAAGGAAUGCCAAAGGCGAAGGCAGCCCCCUGGGCCCAACUGACGCUAAAGUACGGAAGCGUAGGUAGCAAAUAGGAUUAGAUACCCUAGUAGUCUACGCCGUCAACGAUGGGUAUUGGCAGCUGCGCUGCUAAGCUAACGCGUUAAAUACCCCGCCUGGGGAGUACGGUCGCAAGAUUAAAACUUAAAGGAAUUGACGGGAACCCGCACCAGCGGUGGGGCAUGCGGUUUAAUCCGAUACUACGCGUAAAAGCU
rnacentral:rRNA from 1 species